rnacentral:lncRNA from 1 species
UGUUUUAUCACUUUUAUGACACAUUUGGAAUGGAUUUCCAUGGCAUAAAAUUCAUCUGUUCACUUCUUUCCAAUGUUUUAAAAACCGGAUCGGACCGGCCGGUGGCCUUCCCGGUUCGGUCACUUCCUCUAAACCGUUUAGCUAUUGAACAGGUCACAAACCUUUUGAACCGACGGUUCUUCAAGGACCGAACGGUUGAAUGACCCCCUUUUUCCGUUCAACUUGUUAACCUCUGAGUCUCCAGCGGCCUCCACCUCCAAUCCACCGGAAGGACGAUGCUGGUGACUGGCCGACGUCCACUGGCUUGGUGACUCUAUGUGGGAUGUGAGAGAAAAUUGGUAGUAAAAGAGAGAGAUUGUGAGCUAUAAGAGAGAGAUGAUGAGAUGAGAAGGAAGAAGGGGGGUGUUGGUCGAGGGUAGUGCCCGUAGUCGCAUCGCCGACGAUGGUUGACGAGAGUGGCAGCAGUGGGGGCCGAUGAUGACAAGUAGCAGUAGGUGUGGUGAGGGAAGAAAGAAGAAGGAAAAGAAAGAGAAGGGAGAGAGGGAUAAUGAGGGUUGCUCGUGGUAAUUACUAAUUAGGGUUAUUU